AAUGGUAAUUCCUAAAUUCGCGCCACACCUCCCUCCCACUCUCCCUCUUUCCCCAUUUUCCCAAACUCUCUGUAAUCUCUUGGGAUAAAAAAAAAAAAAAAAAAAACCCUUCAAUAUUCUAUCCCAAUCUCACUGCUCUCUUCCUUCCUCUCACCCAGUCGUCACUCUAUCUCUCUUUGGCCACCAUUGAAGUUUAAGCUUUGAGCUUCAACCGAGUAAGAUCAGUUUGUUUUUGGCAUUAUCGACCUGAAAUAGAGAUAGAUCAGUUGAUUUUCCGCAUCAACCACUGCAUAGAAGACGAAGAGAAAGGAAGGGGAUGAGAGACUCAGCGAAGAAUAACACUUCCUCCCUUAAAUCAAGUUUGGAGAUUCAAACUAGGGUUUUAAUUCGGGGAUCUCAGAGGAAAAAAAUCAUUGGGGAUUUCAAUUGGAAAGGCGUCUUCAAUCAUGGAGAUAGAGUGUGUGUUGCAAUUUCCACAAUACCAUGUGGAUCAUUGCCCCUAAAAGAGCCUGCGUUUGGGAGGGGAUGUAUCACUUCAGAUCCCUAAGAUAUCAGAUAUGUUUUUUAAAUUCAAAUGUCUCCAGUGUUUUUAGAAUUCUAUGCUUGUGUUGUUUGACCUGCAGGUAGAACCUAUAAAAAUUUAAGUAAAAAUAAAAAAGAGAGAAUUUUUCUAUAAAUCUUAGUUCUAGACGAAUUUUAAACAUAAUCUGGUCUAUAUUGCAUAUGUAGAGGAAAUUUUACAACUUUUAAAAAUAUGGGCAUAAUUUCUUCUCUCAUGAUAUCAUUCUUUUUAUUUUUUAUUUUUAAUAUUCUAAUGUUCUUAAUUUUGGAUAUUUAGAAUAUAGCUUAGUUGCAUCAAGCCCUUUUUUCUUUGUCAAACCUUCAAAAAAAAAAAAAAAACCUCUUUAGAUUUUUAAUAUAUUUUGAUCCACAUAAUCUGAUUUGCUUUUGGAAUUGAAUCAACUGCGUUAUUGGUAACCACUGGAAAUAAGAACCUCAAAAUGAAAUUGGUGGGUAUUGAAUUAACUCAAAAUUAAACAUGAUCACAAUUGCCGUAAUAGUUUAAGUAGAGACUUUGGGCAAAUUAUAACUACUUUUCUUGUAUACUCUGUUGUUAUGAACCUACUUAAAGUUCAAAUUCUUGGUAACUAGUGAAUUAUGUGUUUGAAUAAAUUGGUAUUGUUCAUCAAAUGCUCUAUGGGUCUUUUGAUUUCUUUGUUUUCAGAGGAUCUUUGUUUUCAUUCACAUUUGUCUCUGAUUUUCCCGACAUUGAAGAAACUCUAAUGCCUAUUUUGAUAUUUUAACUUAUUGCAGCCUUGAGAUUGUCUAAUUGGAUUGAGCAGUGAAGACGACAUUAUUUCUUCCAAGAGCUCUUGUUCGAAAUACUUGAGCUUGCCACCAUUCACACCAGUAGAAUGAUCAAUCUAAAGCCACCAAAAUGAUCAAGCAUGCUUGGCAUCGUCGUUGCCGCCUAUGAUCGGUCAGGUUGUUUAUUUCGUGAUGUCACUGCCUCUCUAGUUGCCAAUCUCGAUUUGCGGCAGAGGAUUUUCAUGGCUUACAGGAGCAAGUGAUGAGUACAUCUUCUAGAAGCCAUAAAAUGGUGGUUCGUGUACAACACAUUGAAGCUGCACUUGCUCCACUUGAGGUCAUAUUGGCCCAAAAAGCCACUUACAUUUUGCUUACAUAGCUGUUACUUUGCAGGUUAUAAUUGGCAUUCUCAUCUCCAAAAUGAGCAAAAUCACUUUAUUUACGGUGACUUGUCAAACUUUAUUAUGGAUUCCUAUGAAGAAUGUAGUGAUCCACCACGUCUUCAAAUGCAACCCUCUUGAGUACGCGAUGAUAUCUUCGCAUAUUGAUAUUGGAGCUUACUGUUGAUAUUAAAACAAGCUAUAAUUUAUACGUUUUUUUAUUUGUAUUGUCGAUACUUUUGUUUUGCUUUAGAUACAAAUAUAAGUUCUUGAAUAUAAAAAUUAUUAGUAUUGUUGGAAGAUGUUUUAUAUAUUUUUGUAAAGAAUAUUUGGUUGACAAUUGUUACAGGGUAUAUAUAUACGUAUGAUUUU